UACGAAGGGGGCUAGCGUUGCUCGGAAUGACUGGGCGUAAAGGGCGCGUAGGCGGAUGGCUUUGUCGGGCGUGAAAUUCCAGGGCUUAACCUUGGGGCUGCGUUCGAGACGGGUUGUCUUGAGUGGGGGAAGAGGGUCGUGGAAUUCCCAGUGUAGAGGUGAAAUUCGUAGAUAUUAGGAAGAACACCAGUGGCGAAGGCGGCUCACUGGAUCGGUACUGACGCUGAGGUGCGAAAGCGUGGGGAGCAAACAGG
rnacentral:rRNA from 1 species